UACGUAGGGGGCAAGCGUUGUCCGGAUUUAUUGGGCGUAAAGAGCGUGUAGGCGGCCAGGUAGGUCUGCUGUGAAAACUCGAGGCUUAACCUCGAGCUGUCGGCGGAAACCAUCUGGCUAGAGUCCGGAAGAGGAGAAUGGAAUUCCCGGUGUAGCGGUGAAAUGCGCAGAUAUCGGGAAGAACACCCGUGGCGAAGGCGGUCUCUGG
rnacentral:rRNA from 1 species